GGUCGGUUAGCUCAGUUGGCAGAGCAUCGCAAUUACAUCCAUGAGAUUUCUGCGAAGGCCAUAGGUUCAAGCCCUAUACUGACCA